UACGUAGGAGGCGAGCGUUGUCCGGAAUCACUGGGCGUAAAGCGCGUGUAGGCGGGGGGGCAAGUCUGCUGUGAAAGCGCCUGGCUUAACCGGGCGAGGUCGGCGGAAACUGUCCGACUCGAGGACGGUAGAGGGGGGUGGAAUUCCCGGUGUAGUGGUGAAAUGCGUAGAGAUCGGGAGGAACACCUGUGGCGAAGGCGGCCCCCUGGGCCGGCCCUGACACUGAGACGCGAAGGCGUGGGGAGCGAACGGG
rnacentral:rRNA from 1 species